rnacentral:lncRNA from 1 species
AGCCAGCAAACCAGCUCCCACUGCCCCUCCCCUGCCCGCUGAGAGUGGCGGCUAGCAGGGUGGGGGGGCAGGAACUGAGGGGUGCGGAUCCGGGCCCCCCAGCCUGCGAAGCGCACUCGCAGGUCGAGCGGGCGUCGUCCACCCUUCGGAGCCCCGCUUUCAUGCGUGAAAUCCCCAGAAGUCGCCUGCGACCGCCUCCCUGCUUCAAACACCAGAGAGGGCCCGGGGUCCUGGCCGGAGACAGGCCGAACCUCCGGAGCUGCUUCUGCACCCGGUACAUUGAUCGAUCUGAUGGGCUGCGCGCCCGGAAGAGCUGGAGAGAUGAAGCCAGCGUCCAGCUUCUCCCCCAAACCACAGCACGCCGAGCUUUGUCCCCAGGGAGCGUGAAGUCACCAGCUCCGGGAGGCGACAAUAUGAGGGCGAUGGACGGGGCAGGGACCCCCGGAAGCCCCAGCAAUCCUCAGGGAAGUGGGGGUGCCGGAGGAGUCGGGGACACCCUCAGGCCUCUCCAAGCCCGGAGCAUCCCCAGCGCCCGCAGCCCUGUGAGACGCCGGGUGCUCUGGUAAUGGGCCCUGCCGCCAGGCCUCGGCGCUUUGUCCCCGGCCCGCCCGGGGAUGCUACCACGCUAGAGUUGUACACCAAGGUUUGUCUUCCCAGGAAGCGCUAGCGGCUGCCUUUGGGCCGCCUGGCGCAGAGCCCCAGGCUGCAGGCGCCGCGUGUGCGGGCGGGAAGUUCCCACAGUUGCAAAGAGGCAGCGAAGUAUGUGUUCCAAACUUUCCACGGUUCCAAACUGAGCGCUUCCAUUAAGAGAAGCGGUGUGCGGGGGAAAAGCAUUCUGGGUAUUAGCAUGCAAAUGAACGGGCCCGGCUUCCAACUCCGCUCGGGAUUCCCACCGCUGCGCGCCGAGCUCGCGCCCAGCCACGCGCGCCCUGAGGCUUCCGGGCGUUGCCCUGGCGGAUGAUCCGAGUUCAAAAUCGAGACCUCUGCCUUCUGGUUUCGUGUCCUGGUGCUUAGUCACUUGGCCUCCCUGAGAUUCAGUUAAAUUGUUUCUUAACCUGUACAUGGGGACAGCAGCACCUGUCCUGCACACCUCCGCUCUAGGGCAUAGUACAUGCCAAACUCCUGUUGGAGAGAAUGAAUGAGACUUAGAGGCAUGAAGAAAGUUCCCUGGACACGAAGCCAGGAGAUCUGUGUUCUAAGCCCAGACUCACUGUCACCUUAGGCUAGUGCCUCCCUCUCUGAGCCACAGCUUUCUUGGGCGGAUUUUGGGAACUGGCACAUUUUAUUUUUGAGAGAGCUGCUGGGAACAUCCACAAAGAAAGAGAAAGGGGCCGGGCGCGGUGUCUCACGCCUGUUAUCCCAGCACUUUGGGAGGCUGAGGCGGGCGGAUCACCUGAGGUCGGGAGUUCGAGACCAGUCUGACCAACACGGAGAAACCCCAUCUCUACUAAAAAUACAAAACCAGGCCGGGCGCAGUGGCUCAUGCCUGUAAUCCCAGCACUUUGGGAGGCCGAGGCAGGCGAUCACCUGAGGUCGGGAGUUCGAGACCAGCCUGACCAACAUGGAGAAACCCCGUCUCUACUAAAAAUACAAAAUUAGCCGGGCGUGGUGGCACAUGCCUGUAAUCCCAGCUACUAGAGAGGCUGAGGCAGGAGAAUCGCUUGAACCUGGGAGGCGGAGGUUGCCGUGAGCCGAGAUCGUGCCAUUGCACUACAGCCUGGGCAACAAGAGCGAAACUCCGUCUAAAAAAAAAAAAAAAAAAAAUUAGCCGGGCGUGGUGGCACAUGCCUAUAAUCCGAGCUACUCGGGAGGCUGAGGCAGGAGAAUCACUUGAACCCGGGAGGCGGAGUUGCGGUGAGCCGAGAUCGUACCAUUGCACUCUAGCCUGGGCAACAAGAGUGAAACUGUUUCAAAAAAAAAAAAAAAAAAAAAAAGCGAAAGAAAAGAAAAA